rnacentral:rRNA from 1 species
GAUGAACGCUGGCGGCGUGCCUAAUACAUGCAAGUCGAGCGAACAGACGAGGAGCUUGCUCCUCUGACGUUAGCGGCGGACGGGUGAGUAACACGUGGAUAACCUACCUAUAAGACUGGGAUAACUUCGGGAAACCGGAGCUAAUACCGGAUAAUAUAUUGAACCGCAUGGUUCAAUAGUGAAAGACGGUUUUGCUGUCACUUAUAGAUGGAUCCGCGCCGCAUUAGCUAGUUGGUAAGGUAACGGCUUACCAAGGCAACGAUGCGUAGCCGACCUGAGAGGGUGAUCGGCCACACUGGAACUGGGCCACGGUCCAGACUCCGACGGGAGGCAGCGGUAGGGAAGCUUCCGCAAUGGGCGAAAGCCUGACGGAGCAACGCCGCGUGAGUAAUGAAGGUCUUCGGAUCGUAAAACUCUGUUAUUAGGGAAGAACAAAUGUGUAAGUAACUAUGCACGUCUUGACGGUACCUAAUCAGAAGGCCACGGCUAACUACGUG